AUAUCAUGAUGAAACAUUGGUUCCCGUACGAUUACCGAAGUUAAGCAACCUCGAGCUCGGUCAGUACAUAGAUGGGUGACAACUUGGGCAUACCAAGUGCUGUAAG